CCUACGGGUGGCAGCAGUGGGGAAUAUUGCACAAUUGGGGAAACCCUGAUGCAGCGACGCCGCGUGAGCGAGGAAGUAUUUCGGUAUGUAAAGCUCUAUCAGUAGGGACGAAAAAAGACGGUACCUGACUAAUAAGCCCCGGCUAACUACGUGCCAGCAGCCGCGGUAAUACGGAGGGGGCAAUCGUUAUCCGGAUUUACUGGGUGUAAAGGGAGCGUAGACGGCAAGGCAAGGCAGAAGUGAAAGGGUAUGGCUCAACCCUAUACAUGCUUGUGGAACUGUGGUGCUAGAGUGCAGGAGAGGUAAGUGGAAUUCCUGGUGUAGCGGUGAAAUGCGUAGAUAUUAGGAGGAACACCAGUGGCGAAGGCAGCUUACUGGACUGUAACUGACGUUGAGGCUCGAAAGCGUGGGGAGCAAACAGGAUUAGAUACCCGAGUAGUC
rnacentral:rRNA from 1 species